UACGGGGGGGGCAAGCGUUGUUCGGAAUUACUGGGCGUAAAGGGCUCGUAGGCGGCCGGCUAAGUCCGACGUGAAAUCCCCAGGCUUAACCUGGGAACUGCGUCGGAUACUGGCGGGCUUGAAUCCGGGAGAGGGAUGCGGAAUUCCAGGUGUAGCGGUGAAAUGCGUAGAUAUCUGGAGGAACACCGGUGGCGAAGGCGGCAUCCUGGACCGGCAUUGACGCUGAAUAGCGAAAGCCAGGGGAGCAAACGGG
rnacentral:rRNA from 1 species